rnacentral:tRNA from 1 species
GGGCCCGUGGCCAAGUACGGAUUAUGGUAUCUGCCUCCGGAGCAGAAAAUCAGGGGUUCGAAUGGUUUUCAUGCCCGACAAUCCCCUCGGGCCCG